AGGCCAGACUCCUACGGGAGGCAGCAGUGGGGAAUAUUGGGCAAUGGGCGCAAGCCUGACCCAGCAACGCCGCGUGAAGGAAGAAGGCUUUCGGGUUGUAAACUUCUUUUAUCAGGGACGAAGCAAGUGACGGUACCUGAUGAAUAAGCCACGGCUAACUACGUGCCAGCAGCCGCGGUAAUACGUAGGGGGCGAGCGUUAUCCGGAUUUACUGGGUGUAAAGGGAGCGUAGACGGCUGGUCAAGUCUGAAGUGAAAGCCCGGGGCUUAACCCCGGAACGGCUUUGGAAACUGAGCAGCUAGAGUGCUGGAGAGGUAAGCGGAAUUCCUAGUGUAGCGGUGAAAUGCGUAGAUAUACGGAGGAACACCAGUGGCGAAGGCGGAUUGCUGGACAGUAACUGACGCUGAGGCGCGAAAGCGUGGGGAGCAAACAGGAUUAGAUACCCUCGUA
rnacentral:rRNA from 1 species